CCUACGGGUGGCAGCAGUGAGGAAUAUUGGUCAAUGGACGAGAGUCUGAACCAGCCAAGUAGCGUGAAGGAUGACUGCCCUAUGGGUUGUAAACUUCUUUUAUAUGGGAAUAAAAUGUUCCACGUGUGGGAUUUUGUAUGUACCAUAUGAAUAAGGAUCGGCUAACUCCGUGCCAGCAGCCGCGGUAAUACGGAGGAUCCGAGCGUUAUCCGGAUUUAUUGGGUUUAAAGGGAGCGUAGGUGGAGUGUUAAGUCAGUUGUGAAAGUUUGCGGCUCAACCGUGAAAUUGCAGUUGAAACUGGCAGUCUUGAGUAGAGUAGAGGUGGGCGGAAUGCGUGGUGUAGCGGUGAAAUGCUUAGAUAUAACGAAGAACUCCGAUUGCGAAGGCAGCUUACUGGAGUGCAACUGACACUGAGGCUCGAAAGUGUGGGUAUCAAACAGGAUUAGAUACCCCUGUAGUC
rnacentral:rRNA from 1 species